rnacentral:misc_RNA from 1 species
GAUGAAGAACGUAGCGAAAUGCGAUACUUGGUGUGAAUUGCAGAAUCCCGUGAACCAUCGAGUCUUUGAACGCAAGUUGCGCCCGAAGCCAUUAGGCCGAGGGCACGCCUGCCUGGGCGUCACACGUCGUUGCCCCCCCAUCUACUCCUUCGGGAUUGCGGGGGGCGGAUGAUGGCCUCCCGUGCGCCUCGUCGCGCGGUUGGCAUAAAUGCCAAGUCCUCGGCGACGCACGCCACGACAAUCGGUGGUUGCGAAACCUCGGUUGCCCGUCGUGUGCGGUCGACGCGCAUCGAGGGCUCGAAAAAAUUGCCGGGCUCCGGCUCGGCUUUCAACGCGACCCCAGGUCAGGCGGGGUUACCCGCUGAAUUUAAGCAUAUCAAUAAGCGGAGGA